rnacentral:lncRNA from 1 species
CUCCAAUCUGCUGCUUUCUGUAUAAAGCAGGAUGCAGACGCACAUAUACAUGCAGUUUCCGACAUCUUUAUCGCAUCACUGUCUGUAAUGUGCUGGCAAAUGCAAACUGCUCCCUUCCUUUCCCACCCAGGGAUGUUCUGGGUGUACCCCUCUCCUUCACUUCAACAGCCAGGCCAGAGAGGCUGUUGUUGGUGUUUAAUUAGAAAUACGAGACAGAUGGGGACUAAGAGGGUCUGCAGAUGCUAACAGAGUGGUGGGCUCUUUGUGUCUCAAAAAUGGGGUUUCAGUGCCCUGGGCAGCCCAUUCAGCAUAUCCAGUGAGAUGUGACAGUGGCCCUGACCAGGAAGCGUCUGAGGGAGGGGCUGGCAUAGAUAGGAGUGGCUGGGCCACAGAGCCGGGAGUCCUCUCUUGCAAAGGGAAGAACUGUCAGCAAAUGAUUAGCAGGGAGUUUCUUAGAGCUAUUCAGCAAGGAUUAUAGAAACUCCCGAUUUGGUUGUGGGGGGCUGUGGUUCGUAUGCACCCCAUCAUAUAAGAGAUCAGAGACAGGUUUGCAGCCUAUGAAAACCUGAAAGCACUCUGAUCUCUACCACUGAGGUCAGAGGCACCUGACUGAUGUUUCAAUGGUGGUGUGUAUCACAGGAGUGAGAAUGACAGAAGGAAGUCUUUUGGGAGGCUGGCGUCAAGCCACAGUCCAUACUGAGGCUGUCUGAGCACAGGGGGCGUGGAGCUGCCCACCUGGACCCCCUACAGCCCUGCUUCCUGCUUUCUAGGCAGGUUCAUCAGCGCCUCCCUAUUGGUGCUGCUUAGCAGCAGAUGGUGAGCCUGGCUGCCAUCGCCAGGCUCUGAAUGCUGCCUGUCCACCAUGAGCUUGGAAGGGAGGCCCCCUGUCCAGGCUCCCCUGGGCAAGAAAGUGCUGAGGACAGCCAGUGGUGGUGUGGAAGCCAGAAACAGGACAUCAGCCAUGAAGGCGGAGGGGCUACCGGGCCACCUUGGAACAUGAACUACAGCCAAGCCACGAACUGGAGGAAGAGAGUUUGCAGCAUUCCCUCUCAGUUUGGCCUUCUGAAUGUCUUACUUAAGGCAGUUCCUCCCUGGGAGCAAACGACAGGAAACAUGAGACAAUGGAAUCUGGAGCUGGCAAGGCUGAGUGUGAUUAAUGCAGAAGAAAUGAAGUCAGUAUUGGAUGGCAACAACCCCAGACUCAGACACGGCAGAAAGUGAUCAAAGAGGAUGGGAUAAAGGUAGUCAUGGAUGCUCAGAAUAUUCACUCCACUAGACAGUGGGAAUCCUUCAGGGAUUUGAAGAGAGAGUUCAAUGAAGGCACAACUGUCUUUUAUUUUUAUUUUUUAAUUUUUUGGCCACCCCGAGACAUAUGGAGUUCCAGGGCCAGGGAUCAGAUCUGAGCCGCAGUUGUGACCUACGAUCCUUUAACCCAUUGUGCCAAGCUGAGGAUCGAACCUUUGUCCUGGCACUACAGAGGUGACACUGAUCCUGUUUCACCCCUGCAGGGUCUCCUGUCUUUUUAGUGUCAACUUUUAAUUUUAUACAAGGAAAUUUGUUGAACAGUCAUCAUAUUCACUGAUUCAAACAUUUAUUAAAUACCUACUGUGUGCCACACACAUUUAUACAAGUUGGGGAUAUAGCAGUGAGGAAAAGAGACAAAAAUCCUUGUCCUGUGGAGCUUCCUUUUGGGUGAGGGAGGGUAGGGGACAAACGCAAAACGGAAAAGAAAGGAAAUACGUAACAUUUGGGUACCAACUAACUUAUAGAGCAUCUUCAUGCAAAUAAGAGAAGGCCACUCCAAGAGUUCUCCAGUGGCCUAGUGGUUAAGGACUCAAUGUUGUCACUGCUGUGGUUUCGAUCCCUGGAACAGGAACUUCUACAUGCCUCGGGCGUGGCCACACAUCUUGGCAAGUAGAGCCUGGGUCUGCUCUUGCUCCUUUGGCCAGGUGUCCAGCCCACACAACUUUAAUGGUAGCCCUAGAAAGAGUGCCAACUGAAUGAUGGAGAAAAAUAAAACAGAUAAGGGAGGCAGGUGGUAGAGGGGAAGGAGUUUUGUGAUGAAAAACAUAAGAAAGACUCAAUGGGAGUUCCCGUUGUGGCUCAGCUGAUUAAGAGCCUGACUAGCAUCCACAAGGAUUCGGGUUCAAUCCCUGGCCUCUCUACUUGGGUUAAGGAUCCGGCAUUGCCUUGAGCUGCAGCCUAUGUUGCAGAUGCAGCUCAGAUCUGGUGAUGCUGUGGCUGUGGUAUAGACAAGCUGCAGCUGCAAGAUUCAACCCUCAGCCUGGGAACUUCCACAUGCUGUAGGUGUGGCUCUAAAAAGAAAAAGGAAAAAAAGAAAGCAAGCCUCAAUGAAGGAAAAAAAAAUGACAUUUGAACAAAGACUCGAAGGGGGUGAGUAAGCAACUGUAUGGCUCUCUGGGGAAGUGCAUCCCUAAGCAGAGGGAAUGGACAGUGCAAAGGCUUGAGGCAGGAGCCUGCUUGGUGUAUUUGAGGAACAGCCAGGGGGCAGGUGUGGCUGGAGCAGGCGGAACAAGGGAGAAAAAGAGUAGGAGCUGGGACCAGAAAGACAGCUGGGGGCCAGACACAAAGAAGGACUUUGGCUUUCGCUCUGAGUGACAGGGGAAGCCUUUGAAGGAUUUUGAGCAGGGGAGGGGCAUGACUUGACUCACUUUUUUACGAGCUCCAUCUGGGCUGAAAAUAUAGUAGGGGAGGCAAGAGUAAAGCAGGGGACCAUUGAGGAAGCAGUGACCAAGAUGGGAGAUGAUGGCAGCUCAGACUAGGGAGGCAGCAGGGGAAGGGAGGAGAAGUGGGUCAGAUUCCAGAUAUAUUUUGUGAAGCCAACAAAAUCUGCUGAUGGAUUGGAUAUGGGGUGGGAUCCCCGAAUGACUCCAUUCCUGACCCAUGAACGAAUAGAUCGCCGUUUAUGGAGAGAGAGAAGGCUGUGGGAGGCAACAUGAAGGGGCAUAAUGUCAACAUUUUAAUUUGAGCACUGAUGUGAAUAUGCAAAACUGCCCUCUCCUGUAAUAGGCCCUGACCCUUGCGACGACCCCAAAUUACAGAGGCCAAAACCCAGAGCCAGAAUAUCUCGCCUGAAUCUUGCUCUGCUAAUAAGUGACGGAACUCGGAUUCCAACGGAUCUGUGUGACUCCAACACCCAUGCUCUUUGCCCCCGUCACAUUAUCUCAGAGAAUCCGACAGAAACUAGCCAGGGAGCUGCCUGGGAGCUGAGACAGUAUCACUCCCCUCUGCAUCCAGAGGUGGGAUUUGGUUGGAGGAACUAGUAAACUACACUCCUCCGAGUCCUGCAGAUGGUACAAACAGCUUUAUUUUGGAAAACUCCGGAAGAUGAGGCUUGAAUGGGUGGCCACAGUGGGCUUCCUGAUGUUGCCCUCCUUGCCCCUCCCCACAAGCUGAGCCGGCAGAGCUUGGUCCCUGCUGGCCUCUUUGUGGGAACUUUCCCCUGCAGGAGGUGUCCUGCAGACAGACCUGCUCUUGAGAAGGAGGAAAGUGGUGGGUUUGGUACCCUCAGGUCUUUCAAACUGCCUGUCAGGGAAAUCCCUCCUCCCACAGAAGCAUGGAAAUGAAGGCGCCCUGUCCUCCCACCCCAAACCUGGUGCAGAGGAUAAUAAGUGUUCCAGGAUUUGUUUGAAUGGCUAAAAUACAAGCACUUGCUAUCUUGCAAAGAGUGUAGAAGGCACUUUGCAUACACAUUUCCUCCUCACUCGAAUCCACGGAGGUAGGCACUAUUUCUAUUUCCAUUUUACAAAUGAGAAAAUGGAGGCGUUGAAAGGUUAAGUACUUGCCUUCAUGUGCAGCCAGGACUUAAACCAGGCAGUCUGUCCCAAAGUGAGAGCGCAGAAGGUGCACAAGUACUUCCUUCUCGUGCUGAAGACCCCGCUGCUGAGGGCAUUAGUCGUACUGUUAGACUUUAGCGCCGAAGUGAGGGAACCAGAUGAAUGAGCAGUUUAUUCUGCCUGAAGUUGGGGUUGGGGGCGGAGGGGGUCAUGGACCAUCCCAGAGAGAAGGUGAUGGUUGGCAUGCGUCUUGAAAGACAAGAAGGAAUUUAUCCAAGGGACGAGAUUAGAGGAGGGAGGAAAUGGCACUCUAGGUGGAGGGACCAGCUUGGACAAAGAUACUGGGACUUGAACAACGUAUGGUGUAUUUGGGGGAUAAUGCAGGGACCACACUGCUCAGAACAGAGAUCACCAAAUGCAGCCCAGCCUCCAAAUUCAACCUGAAGACACGAGUAUUGUAUGUAUGUAUGUAGUAUGGGAGAGCAAUAGAUUUUUGAUUGUCCCAACAUUUAAAAAUUGAAUGAUUUUACAUACAAUUCUAGACUCUUAGCUUUUCUUGACAUAGAAUAACCCUAAGUCAGCCUGGGCUUGUGUUUCUGUGUAGCCGGCUUUGCUGAGGGCUGAGAAGCUGCUUCCUCCUUUAGAUGGGCACCUGCUCGUCACGCUUCCUCUCCCCCAGCACCUGCCUACUUCAUCCAGAGAUUUAACUAACCCACCCAGCUCCUACGGGCCUUUGAGUUUGCAACCUUGGCCUAAAUGCUCAGACUGAGUUCUGAAAGGCCUGGUGUGCCAUGCCAGGACUUUCGAUUCCAUCCUGAAAGCAAUCAGGGGUCUUCAAAUGUUAGUUAGUAGAGGAGCAUGUGCUCAUGUGAGAGGGGAGUGGGACAGAGAUGGAGGUAAUGUUCAAACUAUUAGGCCCCAAAGAACCCAAAGACCCUCCUGGAGAAGUCCUCUUCUGCAGAGCAGGAGGUGUCCCAGGAGGGUCACUGUCAUGGGCACUGGACUUGGAGUCAGAGGGCCUGAAUUUCAAAAGAAGAAGGUGGUCCUUUCAAACAUGGUUACCCCUACUUCUCCAGUCCGUCCUGUCCGUUUAGUGAAGAAGGAAACAGGCACAAACCAGAGUCCAUGUCCCGGCUUUGCCAGUUGCUCCCUGUGUGUCUCUGGCAAGUCACUUAACUUCUCUGAGGCUCAAUUUCCUCAACUGUGAGAUAGGAGUAACAUUAGCUAAUUGGCAGCGUAGUCGUGAGUACUAAAUGAAGACAGGUGUUUGAGGAGUUCUCCUUGUGGCUCAGUGAUAAUGAACCUGACUAGUAUCCAUGAGGACAUGGGUUUGAUCCCUGGCCCUGCUCAGUGGGUUAAGGAUCCCGAGUGGCUAUGGCUGUGGCUGUGGCCUAGGCCAGCAGCUGCAGCUCCGAUUCAACCCUUAGCCUGGGAACUUCCAUAACCUGCCAGAGCGGCCCUAAAAUAGACAAAAAAAAAAAAAAAAAAAAAAAAAAAAAAAAAAAAAAAAGGUGUUUGAAAGUGUUUGAGGCCAUAAAGAUCCUAGGGAGAGUAGAGGAUUACUGGGAUUGAUCUUAUUAUAGGAAGGCGCUACAUGUGGGGCCCUGCUGUGGGAAUGCCAGACAUCUAGAGGUGGCACAAACCCCAAAAUACCUAGGGUUCCUGCCAUCCUAGGGCUCCUACCAUCCUGGGGCUUUUACCAAUGACAGGUCACAUCAAGCUUCAGG